CCUACGGGAGGCAGCAGUGAGGAAUAUUGGUCAAUGGACGGAAGUCUGAACCAGCCAAGCCGCGUGCAGGAAGACGGCUCUAGGAGUUGUAAACUGCUUUUGUACAAGGGUAAACCGGAAUACGUGUACUUAGCUGAAAGUACUGUACGAAUAAGGAUCGGCUAACUCCGUGCCAGCAGCCGCGGUAAUACGGAGGAUCCAAGCGUUAUCCGGAUUUAGUGGGUUUAAAGGGUGCGUAGUCGGGUUGUUAAGUCAGCGGUGAAAUGUCCGGGCUUAACUCGGGAACUGCCGUUGAUACUGUUGAUCUAGAGUGUAGUUGCGGUAGCCGGAAUGUGUGGUGUAGCGGUGAAAUGCUU
rnacentral:rRNA from 1 species